UGGAUCUUUGUGUUUUCAGUCUGUGCUGC
rnacentral:piRNA from 1 species